UCUUACCUGGGCUUUUUAGCGAAAUUAACUUGUCGGUCUUCCUUAGCCAGUUAAAGCCGCCUUUUAACUUCCGACUAUUAAAAUAUUGAUUUAGAGUCUUUGGAUAUUUGUGCGCGAGUCUAAUGCCCUAAAUGGUUGGAUGCCAUUCGUAAAAAAUAACUUAAAUCUGCGGGGGUUUAAAUUUAUUAGCGGUAGCCCGAGACGCGUCGAUCUGCCCGGUAACCCGGAUGGGAACCCUUUGGCCCCGUAUCCGGAGAAUGGUGCCGCUUAACGAAACGGUCUGCCUAGUGGCGCUGUGAUCGGGGCCCGGCCGCUGCCCGUCACUUCCCGUCCACCGCUCCGCGGUAAGUAUCGUCUCCGUCGACCGCCUCGGCGUACUUUUCGGUCACCUGUGGAAAGAGGGGGGAAGGUGAGCGCCAUUAUUAAUCUCCGUCGGUGGUUGGAGCUGGAACGAAUAUGGGUUUGCCGGGCCGUGGUUACCGUCUGGAGCCCGACGGUGGAUGAGGUGGCCGGUCCGGCCCGGAGCGGUUUCCGGUCGUUACGCCUUCAGCUUACCGCGCUACAUCGAGCGUUCCGCUCUGUUUCCCCUCGGGACGUUGGUACCUCUAUUCCCCGGGGGAAAAAUCCUAGUUCUUCGGGUGAGUCGGUUACCGUUGCUUCUCCGUGAUAGAUGGCUCUUCCGAUACCUCGGAAGAAAACGGCUGUCUGGUCCCGCCACCUGGUGGGCCCAACCCUCGAUUCCGUCCGGCAUUUAAUUUUUUUUUUUUUUUUUCGGUUUUACUGGCCGAGGAAAUGGCGGGACCCAGACUGGUCUAGCCGGUCAC
rnacentral:lncRNA from 1 species